CACACUAUACUCUGUAUAGGUUGCCAUUUGUGACACAGACAUAGACAUGUCAGCUACUCAAGUAGCUGACAUAAACAUUCAGGAACAAGAUCAUGCUCCGGUCUACAUUCAUUAAGGAAAAUGACAGGAUAGAUAGAGGGAGACGGAAAUAGAGAGGGCAGGGGUAGAUACAGAGAGAUACAGAGAGAGAUACAGAGAGAUACAGAGAGAGAGGAAGGGGUAGAUACAGAGAGAUACAGAGAGAGAGGAAGGGGGUAGAUACAGAGAGAUACAGAGAGAUACAGAGAGAGAUACAAAGAGAUACAGAGAGAGAGGAAGGGAGAGAUACAGAGAGAUACAGAGAGAGAGGAAGGGGUAGAUACAGAGAGAUACAGAGAGAGAGGAAGGGGGUAGAUACAGAGAGAUACAGAGAGAUACAGAGAGAGAUACAAAGAGAUACAGAGAGAGAGGAAGGGGUAGAUACAGAGAGAUACAGAGAGAGAGGAAGGGGUAGAUACAGAGAGAGAUACAGAGAGAGAUACAGAGAGAGAUACAGAGAGAUACAGAGAGAGAGGAAGGGGUAGAUACAGAGAGAUACAGAGAGAGAGGAAGGGGUAGAUACAGAGAGAGAUACACAGAGAGAGGAAGGG
ensembl:lncRNA